rnacentral:rRNA from 1 species
UCCGCCUUGCCCUGUGACUAAGUUUAACGGCCGCGGUACCUUAACCGUGCAAAGGUAGCACAAUAAUCGUCCUCUAAAUAGGGACUAGUAUGAAUGGCUUCACGAGGGCCUAACUGUCUCCCCCCUCUAAUCAAUAAAACUGAUCUUCUCGUGAAGAAGCGAGAAUAAAAAUAUAAGACGAGAAGACCCUAUGGAGCUUUAAACCCAUCAUCACCUGCUAACUUAACAUCAAAAUAACCGGCAGUCCUGUUACCGAUGGUUUUCGGCUGGGGUGGCCCUGGAGUAAAGCAAACCCUCCAGACUGAAUGGUUUAACUACCUAAUCAGAGAACUACAAUUCAAAGAAUCAAAACUUUGACAUUAUUGACCCAAUAAAUUGAUCAACGAACCAAGUUACCCUAGGGAUAACAGCGCAAUCCAUUUCAAGAGCCCCUAUCGACAAAUGGGUUUACGACCUCGAUGUUGGAUCGGGGUAUCCUAGCGGCGCAGCUGCUGCUAAAGGUUCGUUUGUUCAACGAUUAAUAACCCCACGUGAUCU